UGGGGAAUAUUGGGCAAUGGGCGCAAGCCUGACCCAGCAACGCCGCGUGAAGGAAGAAGGCUUUCGGGUUGUAAACUUCUUUUCUGGAGGGACAGAUAAUGACGGUACCUCAGGAAUAAGCCACGGCUAACUACGUGCCAGCAGCCGCGGUAAUACGUAGGUGGCAAGCGUUAUCCGGAUUUACUGGGUGUAAAGGGCGUGUAGGCGGGAAGGCAAGUCAGAUGUGAAAAACUAUGGGCUCAACCCAUAGCCUGCAUUUGAAACUGUUUUUCUUGAGUGUUGGAGAGGCAGGCGGAAUUCCGUGUGUAGCGGUGAAAUGCGUAGAUAUACGGAGGAACACCAGUGGCGAAGGCGGCCUGCUGGACAAUAACUGACGCUGAGGCGCGAAAGCGUGGGGAGCAAACAGGAUUAGAUACC
rnacentral:rRNA from 1 species